rnacentral:rRNA from 1 species
AGAGUUUGAUCAUGGCUCAGAUUGAACGCUGGCGGCAGGCUUAACACAUGCAAGUCGAGCGGAAACGAUGGUAGCUUGCUACCAGGCGUCGAGCGGCGGACGGGUGAGUAAUACUUAGGAAUCUACCUAGUAGUGGGGGAUAGCACGGGGAAACUCGUAUUAAUACCGCAUACGACCUACGGGAGAAAGGGGGCAGUUUACUGCUCUCGCUAUUAGAUGAGCCUAAGUCGGAUUAGCUAGAUGGUGGGGUAAAGGCCUACCAUGGCGACGAUCUGUAGCUGGUCUGAGAGGAUGAUCAGCCACACCGGGACUGAGACACGGCCCGGACUCCUACGGGAGGCAGCAGUGGGGAAUAUUGGACAAUGGGGGAAACCCUGAUCCAGCCAUGCCGCGUGUGUGAAGAAGGCCUUUUGGUUGUAAAGCACUUUAAGCAGUGAAGAAGACUCUUCGGUUAAUACCCGGAGACGAUGACAUUAGCUGCAGAAUAAGCACCGGCUAACUCUGUGCCAGCAGCCGCGGUAAUACAGAGGGUGCAAGCGUUAAUCGGAAUUACUGGGCGUAAAGCGAGCGUAAGUGGCUUGA